GCCAGACUCCUACGGGAGGCAGCAGUGGGGAAUAUUGCACAAUGGGGGAAACCCUGAUGCAGCGACGCCGCGUGAGCGAAGAAGUAUUUCGGUAUGUAAAGCUCUAUCAGCAGGGAAGAAAAAAAUGACGGUACCUGAGUAAGAAGCACCGGCUAAAUACGUGCCAGCAGCCGCGGUAAUACGUAUGGUGCAAGCGUUAUCCGGAUUUACUGGGUGUAAAGGGAGCGUAGGCGGCGCGUUAAGUCUGAUGUGAAAACCCGAGGCCCAACCACGGGAGUGCAUUGGAAACUGGCGGGCUGGAGUGCCGGAGAGGUAAGCGGAAUUCCUAGUGUAGCGGUGAAAUGCGUAGAUAUUAGGAGGAACACCAGUGGCGAAGGCGGCUUACUGGACGGCAACUGACGCUGAGGCUCGAAAGCGUGGGGAGCAAACAGGAUUAGAUACCCGAGUACC
rnacentral:rRNA from 1 species